rnacentral:rRNA from 1 species
GCAUAUCAUAGCGGAGGGAAAAGAAACUAACAAGGGAUUCCCCUAGUAACGGCGAGUGAAGCGGGAUGAGCUCAAAUUUAAAAUCUGGCUGGUUUACUAGUCCGAGUUGUAGUUUAAAGAAGCGUUUUCGGUGGCAGUCUCGGUAUAAAUCCUUUGGAAUAGGGUAUCAUAGAGGGUGAGAAUCCCGUCUUUGACUGAGAAUAUGCUACUAUGUGAUACGUUUUCAAAGAGUCGAGUUGUUUGGGAAUGCAGCUCAAAAUGGGUGGUAAAUUUCAUCUAAGGCUAAAUAUUGGCGAGAGACCGAUAGCGAACAAGUACCGUGAGGGAAAGAUGAAAAGAACUUUGAAAAGAGAGUUAAACAGUGCGUGAAAUUGUUAAAAGGGAAACGCUUGAAACCAGUCAUGCGGUUGGGAAAUCAGUCUCUGACAAGGGGGAAUGGGAGAGGUGUGGACCGCAAGGCCGCUCUUUUUCAUAUCUUUCGUGGCAGGGAUGCACUUUUUCUUCUGCAGGUCAACAUCAGUUUGCUUUGCCGGACAAAACUCUUGGAAAGGUGAUAGCUUAGGCUAUGUUAUAGUCCAAGAGCGAUACGGUGGAGCGGACUGAGGCUUUCGCAGCAUGUGCUCUCGGGCAAGGCUGAUUGGGUGCUAUGGGAUCGUUCAGAGUACAAUACAUGUAUUUUGCUUUGUGUCUUUUCUAUACUCGCUCAACUCGGCUCUUCCAUGCUUAGGAUGUUGACAUAAUGGUUCUAAUCGACCCGUCUUGAAACACGGACCAAGGAGUCUAACAUAUAUGCAAGUGUUUGGGUGGCAAACCCAUGCGCGUAAUGAAAGUGAACGUAGGUGCCAUCCGCAAGGUGCAGCAUCGACCGAUCUUGAUAUUUUUGGAUAGAUUUGAGUAAGAGCAUAUAUGCUGGGACCCGAAAGAUGGUGAACUAUGCCUGAAUAGGGUGAAGCCAGAGGAAACUCUGGUGGAGGCUCGUAGCGAUUCUGAACGUGCAAAUCGAUCGUCAAAUUUGGGUAUAGGGGCGAAAGACUAAUCGACAUCAGU